UUUUUUAUCUCGCGUGACGAGCGGUGUGUUUAAGGCAA
rnacentral:rRNA from 1 species